GACGAACGCUGGCGGCGUGCUUAACACAUGCAAGUCGAACGAUGAAGCCCAGCUUGCUGGGUGGAAGAUUGGCGAACGGGUGAGUAACACGUGAGUAACCUGCCUAUCACUCUGGGAUAAGCGCUGGAAACGGCGUCUAAUACUGGAUACGACCUAUCACCGCAUGGGGUGUGGGUGGAAAGAUUUAUCGGUGGUAGGUGGACUCACGGCCUAUCAGCUUGUUGGUGAGGUAAUGGCUCACCAAGGCGACGACGGGUAGCCGGCCUGAGAGGGUGACCGGCCACACUGGGACUGAGACACGGCCCAGACUCCUACGGGAGGCAGCAGUGGGGAAUAUUGCACAAUGGGCGCAAGCCUGAUGCAGCAACGCCGCGUGAGGGACGACGGCCUUCGGGUUGUAAACCUCUUUUAGUAGGGAAGAAGCGUAAGUGACGGUACCUGCAGAAAAAGCACCGGCUAACUACGUGCCAGCCGCCGCCGUAA
rnacentral:rRNA from 1 species